CAGAAAUUUAAGAGGGGUUUGGGUAGAGAGCCAAGAGAUGAUUGUGGAUGAAUUGCCUUCCACCCAAAUUAAGUUGGCAAAAAGAUGCUGAACGGCCUAUUGUAGGCCAAGCUUGGUUGCAGUGAGCUCAAUGACUGGCAUGGAGGCAGUCGGCAGACAUUUGUCUCCGGAACAGAUAAGUUGGCCUACAUGAUCUCUGAUAACGUAUCGAGCAACAGCUUUAGAAUGUGUAACAGAAGCAUCACAGUUAAGUUUAAUAACUCCAAAGGGGGC
rnacentral:lncRNA from 1 species